rnacentral:rRNA from 1 species
AGUGAACGCUGGCGGUAGGCCUAACACAUGCAAGUCGAACGGCAGCACAGUAAGAGCUUGCUCUUACGGGUGGCGAGUGGCGGACGGGUGAGGAAUACAUCGGAAUCUACUUUUUCGUGGGGGAUAACGUAGGGAAACUUACGCUAAUACCGCAUACGACCUACGGGUGAAAGCAGGGGAUCUUCGGACCUUGCGCGAUUGAAUGAGCCGAUGUCGGAUUAGCUAGUUGGCGGGGUAAAGGCCCACCAAGGCGACGAUCCGUAGCUGGUCUGAGAGGAUGAUCAGCCACACUGGAACUGAGACACGGUCCAGACUCCUACGGGAGGCAGCAGUGGGGAAUAUUGGACAAUGGGCGAAAGCCUGAUCCAGCCAUACCGCGUGGGUGAAGAAGGCCUUCGGGUUGUAAAGCCCUUUUGUUGGGAAAGAAAAGCAGCAGGUUAAUACCCCGCUGUUCCGACGGUACCCAAAGAAUAAGCACCGGCUAACUUCGUG